rnacentral:lncRNA from 1 species
GGCCGGAAAAACAACGGGCAGCCAAGCAGCCGGACACGGUCUCAUUGAUGGCCGUAACGCGAUGAUUUACUCGAUGAAAGUGACGAUUACGCCGAUGACACGAUGGACAACUGGAAAGCUGAACUGAUUUUCCAAUUCACACGUAUCUCGGGCGAUCGCCUACCAGCGAAGCGAUCGCGAACACGAGCUGUUCGUAGAACGGUGUAGACAUUGUUUGCUAACUCGACACUAAGAACGCUUUCGUCGAACAUAUGAUUAAUUAAAUAAUUCCAUCUGAAAGUAGUUUAUAGUGUGCUUAAAAUCUAUUUGGCGGGUCCAAGAUGAAUGAUGUCAGUCACAAAUCGUUGCCGCAUCUCGCAGUGCCCACUGAAUCAUGGAGGCACAUGGUACAAAUUGACAGAUACCAUGGAUUUACCAUCAGUGUCUAUUUUUUCUGGGCCAAUCACCCUCGAUAUGACCAACGUUCGAAUCCUCGCAUAGACAUACGAUGCUGAGAUCAAGUGGUUUGAUGGAAUAUCUAACGGCGGUGCCGGACGCAAAACUCGAAACAGGGAGCAUACCAACUUCACCGUGCCCCAUUAUAUGUUGCAGCUAUAAAGCGAGGUCGAACUAUCUAGCAUAACAUUUAUCGCGUGGAACAUACUGUCGAACCCGCAAUAAAUGUAAAAAAUUACUCGCGUCAAAGCUACACGGACAUCUGAAUCGAGUAAGGUCGAAGGUCUGCUACGACGCCACCAAUGGAAUGGUCUAACGUGUAUGAGUCAUAAACAAGUCCGUGAGAGCGUGUAUAAACAAGUCCGGAUAAGCAGCUUCGUCAAGAAUAUAGCAACGACAAAUGAGAAGUUCGGUGAAAUAAAGUAGCGACAGCAAAAGUGGUAGCGGUUGACAGAAGGAGAAGGGAUCUUGGAUAGGGAGAAGGAUCGGUAUUUCCGGUUAGAGGAGCACGCGGAGAGAUCUGUCUUGGUUGAACGUGUCUCAUCUUCGUCUCCGGGUGCAUGUCCGGCAAUCUCGACUUCUUCUUGGUCUCAAUGCGAGCGGCUGCCAUCAUAGCCAAACUACUUAUGUCGUCCGUAUUUAGCCCUCACAUUCUCCUGAUACUAAGAGCGUCACAGCGCGGAACGGUGACGUUCAGACCCCCGGUCCCACGUACCGCCUUUUUACUAGUGACCGAUUCAGGCUGUGUACAUUACAACAAUAGGCCGGAACCAAGCGACUGAGAAGAAGAGGCGAGCACUGAUUUGAAGAAG